rnacentral:rRNA from 1 species
AUGCACGCUGGCGGCGUGCCUAAUACAUGCAAGUAGAACGCUGAAGGAGGAGCUUGCUCUUCUGGAUGAGUUGCGAACGGGUGAGUAACGCGUAGGUAACCUGCCUGGUAGCGGGGGAUAACUAUUGGAAACGAUAGCUAAUACCGCAUGACAACAGUUAUUGCAUGAUAACUGUUUAAAAGGGGCAACUGCUCCACUACCAGAUGGACCUGCGUUGUAUUAGCUAGUUGGUGAGGUAACGGCUCACCAAGGCGACGAUACAUAGCCGACCUGAGAGGGUGAUCGGCCACACUGGGACUGAGACACGGCCCAGACUCCUACGGGAGGCAGCAGUAGGGAAUCUUCGGCAAUGGACGGAAGUCUGACCGAGCAACGCCGCGUGAGUGAAGAAGGUUUUCGGAUCGUAAAGCUCUGUUGUAAGAGAAGAACGAGUGUGAGAGUGGAAAGUUCACACUGUGACGGUAUCUUACCAGAAAGGGACGGCUAACUACGUG